GACGAACGCUGGCGGCGUGCCUAACACAUGCAAGUCGAACGGAAAGGCGCUGCUCUUGUGGGGCGCUCGAGUGGCGAACGGGUGAGUAACACGUGAGUAACCUGCCCCUGUCAUUGGGAUAACUUUAGGAAACUGGGGCUAAUACCGGAUAGGAGCUCCUGCUGCACGGUGGGGGUUGGAAAGUUUCGGCGGUAGGGGCUGGAUUCGCGGCUUAUCAGCUUGUUGGUGGGGUAGUGGCUUUCCAAGCCUUCGACGGGUAGGCGGCCUGAGAGGGUGACCGGCCACAUUGCGCCUGCGGGACGGCGCAGAAGCCUACCGGAGGCAGCGGUGGAGAGUAUUGCACAAUGGGCGGACGCCUGAUGCGGCAGCGCUCCGUGCGGAAUGACGUCCUUCGAGUUGUAAACCACUUUCGCCGGUAACGAACAGUGAGUGACGGUAAUGAGUAAAAAAGCACCGGCUAACUACGUG
rnacentral:rRNA from 1 species